UACGGAGGGUGCAAGCGUUAUCCGGAAUCACUGGGUUUAAAGGGUGCGUAGGCGGCAUUAUAAGUCAGAGGUGAAAGCUUACAGCUUAACUGUGAAAUUGCCUUUGAAACUGUAAUACUUGAAUCACGUUGAGGUCAGCGGAAUGUGGCAUGUAGCGGUGAAAUGCUUAGAUAUGCCAUAGAACACCAAUUGCGAAGGCAGCUGGCUAGGCGUGUAUUGACGCUGAGGCACGAAAGCGUGGGGAGCGAACAGG
rnacentral:rRNA from 1 species